rnacentral:rRNA from 1 species
GACGAACGCUGGCGGCGUGCUUAACACAUGCAAGUCGAACGGAAAGGCCCUGCUUUUGUGGUGUGCUCGAGUGGCGAACGGGUGAGUAACACGUGAGUAACCUGCCCUUGACUUUGGGAUAACUUCAGGAAACUGGGGCUAAUACCGUAUAGGAGCUCCUGCUGCAUUGUGGGGGUUGGAUAGUUUCGGCUGUUGGGGAUGGACUCGCGGCUUAUCAGCUUGUUGGUGGGGUAGUUGCUUACCAAGGCUUUGACGGGUAGCCGGCAUGAGAGGGUGGCCGGCCACAUUGGGACUGAGAUACGGCCCAGACUGCUACGGGAGGCAGCAGUGGGGAAUAUUGCACAAUGGGAGGACGCCUGAUGAAGAAACGCCGCGUGCGUGAUGACGGCCUUCGGGUUGUAAAAAGCUUUAGCCUGUGACGAAGCGUGAGUGACGGUAAUGGGUAAAGAAGCACCGGCUAACUACGUG